UACGUAGGGGCCGAGCGUUGUCCGGAAUUACUGGGCGUGAAGCGCGCGCAGGCGGCCCCGCGCGCCCGGCGUGAAAGCCGCCGGCUCAACCGGGGAGCGUCGUCGGGGACGGCGGGGCUUGAGGGCGGGAGGGGCCGGUGGAAUCCCUGGUGUAGUGGUGAAAUGCGUAGAGAUCAGGGGGAACACCCGUGGCGAAGGCGGCCGGCUGGCCUGACCCUGACGCUGAGGCACGAAAGCGUGGGGAUCGAACAGG
rnacentral:rRNA from 1 species